CCUACGGGUGGCUGCAGUGAGGAAUAUUGGGCAAUGGGGGCAACCCUGACCCAGCCAUGCCGCGUGAGUGAAGAAGGUCUUCGGAUUGUAAAGCUCUUUCGGACGUGACGAUGAUGACGGUAGCGUCUAAAGAAGCACCGGCAAACUUCGUGCCAGCAGCCGCGGUAAUACGAAGGGUGCGAGCGUUGUUCGGAAUUACUGGGCGUAAAGGGAGCGUAGACGGCGAGGUAAGCCUGAAGUGGAAGCCCGCGGCCCAACCGCGGAACUGCUUUGGGAACUGUUUUGCUGGAGUAUGGGAGGGGUAAGCGGAAUUCCUGGUGUAGCGGUGAAAUGCGUAGAUAUCAGGAGGAACACCGGUGGCGAAGGCGGCUUACUGGACCAUAACUGACGUUGAGGCUCGAAAGCGUGGGGAGCGAACAGGAUUAGAUACCCGUGUAGUC
rnacentral:rRNA from 1 species